rnacentral:rRNA from 1 species
GAUGAACGCUAGCUACAGGCUUAACACAUGCAAGUCGAGGGGAAACGGCAUUGAGUGCUUGCACUCUUUGGACGUCGACCGGCGCACGGGUGAGUAACGCGUAUCCAACCUUCCCAUUACUGUGGGAUAACCUGCCGAAAGGCAGACUAAUACCGCAUAGUCUUCGAUGACGGCAUCAGAUUUGAAGUAAAGAUUUAUCGGUAAUGGAUGGGGAUGCGUCUGAUUAGCUUGUUGGCGGGGUAACGGCCCACCAAGGCUACGAUCAGUAGGGGUUCUGAGAGGAAGGUCCCCCACAUUGGAACUGAGACACGGGCCAAACUCCUACGGGAGGCAGCAGUGAGGAAUAUUGGUCAAUGGACGGAAGUCUGAACCAGCCAAGUAGCGUGCAGGAUGACGGCCCUAUGGGUUGUAAACUGCUUUUGUAUGGGGAUAAAGUUAGGGACGGGUCCCUAUUUGCAGGUACCAUACGAAUAAGGACCGGCUAAUUCCGUG